UACGUAAAAGACUAGUGUUAUUCAUCUUUAUUAGGUUUAAAGGGUACCUAGACGGUAAAUUAAACCUUAAUUGGUAAUUUUUUACUUAGAGUUUUAUGAGAGAAAGGGAGAACUUUUAGAGUAGAGAUAAAAUUUUAUGAUACUAAAGGGACUGAUAAAGGCGAAGGCAGCUUUCUAUGUAAAAACUGACGUUGAGGGACGAAGGUCAGGGGAGCAAACGGG
rnacentral:rRNA from 1 species